AUGCAACCAAUCUCAUCAAUAAGGAGGUCCAAGAAGUUGAUUAAACCCACACAUGACGUGGAGAAGAAAAAGAAAAGACGUAGAAGCAAAGGUAAAAAGGUAUCCCUCCCAAAUGAUGUUGCUCCUAUUAUUGUUAUGCCUCAUGAGAAUGAAUCAAAAAUAAAUGUGGAAGAUAAUAUACUUGAUGAUGAUAUUGAUUCUUUGUCUUAUGGUACAAUGUCCGAAGAAACUAUUGAGGAUGAUUUUGUUAUGCCUAUUACUCAUUGUGAUCAAUAUGAUUGGGAAAAUAAUGAUACUUCUUAUAAUCUUGAAAAUCUUUUUGGCACCAACUUAGAAAGUUGUGAUAAUAAUUGUUAUACUAUUCGUUUUAUUCAUACUACUAAUGAUGAGAGUGUUUAUGCUUAUGAUAUGCAAAGCCACAAGCUUGGGUAUGUUAUGUUUGAUGAGAAUGACAUGUUUGAGAAUUUAUUUGCUACAAUUAAUGUUUGUCCCAAGCUUGGGGAUGCUAUGUUUAAUGAAGAUGCUAUUUUUAGUCCCCCAAGUUUUGAUGUGUAA
rnacentral:rRNA from 1 species